AUACGGAGGAUCCGAGCGUUAUCCGGAUUUAUUGGGUUUAAAGGGUGCGCAGGCGGCCAUUUAAGUCAGCGGUUAAAUCGUGGGGCUCAACCCCAUUCUGCCGUUGAUACUGGGUGGCUUGAUUGCGGUCGAGGUUGGCGGAAUUCGUUGUGUAGCGGUGAAAUGCAUAGAUAUGACGAAGAACACCGAUUGCGUAGGCAGCUGACCAGACCGCAAAUGACGCUCAUGCACGAAAGUGCGGGGAUCGAACAGGAUUAGAUACCCUGGUAGUCCGCACAGUAAACGAUGAAUACUUGUUUUCGGCGAUAUAAUGUCGGAGGCAAAGCGAAAGCGAUAAGUAUUCCGCCUGGGGAGUACGGCCGCAAGGUUGAAACUCAAAUGAAUUGGCGGGG
rnacentral:rRNA from 1 species